rnacentral:lncRNA from 1 species
GUCGGCUGUUCCAUGCUGUUCCACGUGUGCAUGUAUGUACGCGCGUUCGUCUCUUGUCUCUGUACCUUGUAACGUUGGUACCGACGACGAUGACCGCGAGUCGUGCAGCUUUCGUUUCGACAGCGUAGUCCGUGCACCGGUGUCCCGUAGCGACUUCGUCGUGACUGCCUCGGAGAACGUCUAGUACUGCCUUUGCUUGAUUGACGGACGUCGAGGGCGAAACAGAGCGAAGGUGCUGCAAUGCGCUGCCUUGCCACGACAAGAGCAACACACUAGGAUGACUAAAGGACGUAACACUUCUGGACGGGAAUUACAUGUUCAAGAAUUGUUUUGAAAUGUACAAGGAAGAUAUUGGCAUUCUCCUUGCGCCAUCAGCUGUUCAACAUCUGCGAGCUGCAAAGGUGAACACACUUUCAUGUAAACAGGGCCACGUGCAUGCACUGGUACAAGGUUGUUCAGUUGUGCUAGAUAGAACAAAACACAAUCCUAGUCUUCAUGCACCAACCACAGAAAUGAGGGCUGAACAUCAGCUCCACAAGUGAAAGCAGGUUUCUAGCAGCCUCAUAUCAACAGUCACUCUGUUUAACUCAAUCAUAAUUGCUCAUUCCUCUGCUGUAUUUGUGCGUGCAUUUACCUGAUGGGCAAUCAUCGUCUAAACAAACCGUAAUACUUUGGUGACUUGGCACUAUCAAAAAAGAAUUAGGAGAGGAACAAGUGAGGGCAGCACUCUCCUAGCUUGUCCCCCUGCUAUUUCCUUUUUUUUCAACAGUGAAGUUCUUUAAAAGGGGCCCUGAAACACUUUUUCAGCAUGGUUAGAAAACACUGCCGAUCGGUAGUCGAGGCUCCUGAGAGCAUGCAAGCCAAACAUUAUAGCGCAGCACAAGGCCUGGAAUUUACCAUUAAUUCUGAAAGUCAGCUAGAAAUCGUUCCCUCUUCUUUCUACAAAUUAUGCCAUAUACCCAAAUUCACGGGCUGUCAGCUGACUUGAGCAUCGUCAGCUGCAUAGUUAACGGGGCUGCCACGUGCCUGCGCAUGCACUCACGAUGCGUUCGAAA